GGUUCAUUCAAAUUUUUGCCCUAUCAACUUUCGAUGGUAGGAUAGUGGCCUACCAUGGUUUCAAUGGGUAACGGGGAAUUAGGGUCCUAUUCCGGAGAAGGAGCCUGAGAAACGGCUACUACAUCCAAGGAAGGCAGCAGGCGCGCAAAUUACCCAAUCCCGACCGGGGAGGUAGUGACAAUAAAUACUGAUACAGGGCUCUUUUGAGUCUUGUAAUUGGAAUGAGUACAAUUUAAAUCCCUUAACGAGGAACAAUUGGAGGGCAAGUCUGGUGCCAGCAGCCGCGGUAAUUCCAGCUCCAAUAGCGUAUAUUAAAGUUGUUGCAGUUAAAAAGCUCGUAGUUG
rnacentral:rRNA from 1 species